ACAACUUUCAACAACGGAUCUCUUGGCUCUUGCAUCGAUGAAGAACGCAGUGAAAUGCGAUAAGUAAUGUGAAUUGCAGAAUUCAGUGAAUCAUCGAAUCUUUGAACGCAUCUUGCGCUCCUUGGUAUUCUGAGGAGCAUGCCUGUUUGAGUGUCAUUAC
rnacentral:rRNA from 1 species